UACGUAGGUGGCAAGCGUUGUCCGGAUUUACUGGGCGUAAAGCGCGCGCAGGCGGCCCGGUAAGUCGGAUGUGAAAUCCCACGGCUCAACCGUGGAACUGCAUUCGAUACUGUCGGGCUAGAGGCAGGUAGGGGAGAUCGGAAUUCCUGGUGUAGCGGUGAAAUGCGCAGAUAUCAGGGAGGAACACCGGUGGCGAAGGCGGAUCUCUGGGCCUGUCCUGACGCUCGAGGCGCGAAAGCUAGGGGAGCGAACAGG
rnacentral:rRNA from 1 species